ensembl:lncRNA
CCUCCUCCCCACCCACCGACACCCACACCUCCUCCUUCGGCAACCCAGGCGCGGCCCCCCCAUAAGAGAAAGACUGCUUGGAAGGGACCUCAAGGGUGACACUGCAUUCACUCAUUCAGCCACCUCUUCAUUCAUUCCACAUCUGUGGACCAUCUAUGUGCCAGGGACUAGAAAGCUGCAAACUACACUUCCCACCUCGUUAGCUGGCUUCCUGUGGUUCUGGCGGCACCGUGGAGUUAAUGGAAGGUGGGAGAGGGAAGAGGCCAUUUCCCCUGCUCCUGGUGAUUCCUUUGACCGGUGACAGAGGCGGCAGAGUGACACGCAGCUUCUGACCCUACCCAGGCAGCUCGUUCCCAUCAACAGCAGACUCAGCGGCACCACGCCUGUGGACUCCAAGUACCUCAUGAGAAACGCUGGACUGGAAGAAACACAAGCUGGAAUCAAGAUUGCCAGGAGAAAUAUCAAUAACCUCAGAUAUGCAGAUGACACCACCCUUAUGGCAG